CCUACGGGAGGCAGCAAUGAGGAAUAUUGGUCAAUGGCCGCAAGGCUGAACCAGCCAAGUAGCGUGAGGGAAGACUGCCCUACGGGUUGUAAACUUCUUUUAUGCGGGGAUAAAGGUGUCCACGUGUGGCUUUUUGCAGGUACUGUAUGAAUAAGGACCGGCUAAUUCCGUGCCAGCAGCCGCGGUAAUACGGAAGGUCCGGGCGUUAUCCGGAUUUAUUGGGUUUAAAGGGAGCGUAGGUGGGUUUUUAAGUGUGCCGUGAAAUUUUGUGGCUCAACCGUGAGAGUGCAACGGAUACUGGAAGCCUUGAGUACAGGGGAGGCAGGCGGAAUUCGUGGUGGAGCGGUGAAAUGCUUAGAUAUCACGAAGAACCCCGAUGGCGAAGGCAGCCUGCCGCAGCGUUACUGACGCUGAGGCUCGAAAGCGCGGGUAUCGAACAGGAUUAGAUACCCGGGUAGUC
rnacentral:rRNA from 1 species